AUGACACAGAUUUGUAAUUAGAAUGUACAUUUAAUUGAGUGUUCUUGUAACUAUAAGCUAUUAACCAACUGUCUAAUACAAAGUUUAGUCUUAUUUCUAUACAUGUAUCAGUUUAAACCACUAUACAACCACCUGGUUAAAUAAAUGAUACUUGUGUAUGAAAAUAAAUAAUAAGUGAGAGUAUAUAUCAAAUUAACAUGAAAAAACCUUGUGAUGUAAACAUGCCUAAAACAAAUGAUCAAAGGAUUGUAUUGCAGGGCUAGCUGUUUAAAAAAAGUGAAGAAACACUAAAAUUUUGAAAGUUCUCUGAUAGUUCACCCUAAUAAAUGCAAGCAUCCUCAGGCGAAGGAGGCCUUUGAAGGUAACUUGUUUGGUUACUUCUUAUUAUCUGGAUUUGAACUACUUAAACUUCUUUUGGUUGUAUCUUCUUGUUGUUUAGAGAAGUGGCAGGGGAAAUUAUAUAGCUAUUCUAUAGUGUCAUAGUUAAAAUAUGGUAGUGUUAACAAAUGAAUACUUCUGCUUUCUCAUCUUCUAACUUAUUAUCAUUUAUUUGGUCAGAUAAAAUUCGAUCAUCAUGUUUUUCUUUGUUCUGUUUAAGUAUUUCAUUAACUCACCUUGCUUAAGUAUUUCAUUAACUUGAACUUUAUAUGUUAUUAUCCAUUUAGUAAAUUAAUUUGCUUUCUGAAAGAAUUUUGUUUGUAUAUAUCGCUCUUGUUGUCAAACUUUAAUUUUUUUAAUAUAAGUAAGAGUCUUAAAUUUACUAAAAAGCAUUGGUACAAACAUGCAUUACAUACGUGUGUAAAGAAUUGUAUUGGCUUGAUUUGUUUUCAUCUUUUGAAAUUGUACAUGCUAUCACUUUCAUAAUGAGUAUGUACACAUAUUGGUUUAUAACUAUGACACAGAUUUGUAAUUAGAAUGUACAUUUAAUUGAGUGUUCUUGUAACUAUAAGCUAUUAACCAACUGUCUAAUACAAAGUUUAGUCUUAUUUCUAGAAUAUUUUGUAAUAGAUAGAUUAUUUCUUUGGUAGAUAUAUGCAUGGUGGAGAAAGUGAGUUAUAAUAUCUGAUUCUAAUUAUCACAUGUAUUAUGACAAUUUAUAGUCACAUGUAAACUACUAAACAGAUUGUUCGUAUAUAUCAUUCUUGUCGUCGAACUUUAAUUUUUUUUAAUAAAUGUAAGAGUCUUAAAUUUACUAAAAAACAUUGGUACAAACAUAAUUUUAUGUUAUAUUAACCCUUCUAUCGUUUAAUUUAUAUAUUUGAGGAUUAUAUAUGUAAAUAUAUUAUAUAUCGCUUGGGUCGUACAUGCGUCGACAUUUAUAUGUUUCUGUUCCCAUUUAUUUCCUCUUGGGUAGCUGUUAUUUGUCUAUGGACUAUGGACUGCUGUGCGUAAGCACUUGUAAUGGCCAAUGCAUAAGCAUUGGGGAGUGUUGAAAACUAAAAAUGUAGUCACAGUGUAAAAAUGUAUACCCAGUGGCCCGAAGGUCUAUUUCAGAGGGCAAAAUGGCGGAAUUACAUUUGAUGCGUUAAAGAUUGUGGCUUAUAUUAUAACCUCCAAAGGUAUAUAUAAUUUUAUUUUGUACAGGAAGUAUUUCAUAGUGAUAAUUUUUGAAGAUUUCCUAUUCUCUGUUUGCAUACUGGAACAGAUUAAUUUGCUGGAAAAUAAGUCGCUGAAAUUUAAAAUUUAUCUGAAUGUUUAGGUUUCUUUAGUUACGUAGUUUCUUAAAUUUAUAUGGUUCUGAUGUGUGUGUUUAAAUUUAUAUGGUUCUGAUGUGUGUGUGUGUGUGUGUGUGUGUGUGAAGAAUCUAAUAUUGGCUUGAUUUGUUUUCAUCUUUUGAAAUUACACAUGCUAUCACUUUCAUAAUGAGUAUGUACACAUAUUGGUUUAUAACUAUGACACAGAUUUGUAAUUAGAAUGUAAAUUUAAUUGAGUGUUCUUUUGCAUUUCUCUGAUAGUUCACCCUAAUAAAUGCAAGCAUCCUCAGGCGAAGGAGGCCUUUGAAGGUACAGGUUUCAAAGACCCUAUACGAUGAUGAUUUUGACCAUUCAGACGGAAACAAUAUGGUCCUCCACCAUUAUUGUAAGUAUUAUCAAUAUUUCCUCCCGAGGAAGUAAAAGCAAAAAUACUAUUAUAGGA